rnacentral:rRNA from 1 species
GCGGAGGGAUCAUUACUGAGUGAGGGCCUUCGGGCUCGACCUCCAACCCUUUGUGAACACAACUUGUUGCUUCGGGGGCGACCCUGCCGUUUCGACGGCGAGCGCCCCCGGAGACCAUCAAACACUGCAUCUUUGCGUCGGAGUUUAAGUAAAUUAAACAAAACUUUCAACAACGGAUCUCUUGGUUCUGGCAUCGAUGAAGAACGCAGCGAAAUGCGAUAAGUAAUGUGAAUUGCAGAAUUCAGUGAAUCAUCGAAUCUUUGAACGCACAUUGCGCCCUUUGGUAUUCCGAAGGGCAUGCCUGUUCGAGCGUCAUUUCACCACUCAAGCCUGGCUUGGUAUUGGGCGCCGCGGUCAAUCCGCGCGCCUCAAAGUCUCCGGUUGAGCUGUCCGUCUCUAAGCGUUGUGAUUUCAUUAAUCGCUUCGGAGUGCGGGCGGCCGCGGCCGUUAAAUCUUUCACCAGGUUGACCUCGGAUCAGGUAGGGAUACCCGCUG